GGUUUGGCAAGUCAUAUUGUAUAGCUUUAUAAUGCAGUGGUUCUGCGCACUUAUGUUUGCAUGCUAUAGUGGGGUGAUUCUGGCAGCGCUGCAUGCGAACGUGUUUGGGUGUGUGUGUACCACUGUGCAGAUUCCUGCUUGGAGAGUGUGCUCUGGAACAUGAGUGUAAUAACUCCUAACCAGGGGAGCUGCGGGGGGGGGGGGAUAUUUUCAUGGUCACGCCAUAGACUAUGAGUGUAUAUGUGGGAAUGCUGCCGUGCCCUGUCGGUUUGAGGUGGGUUGUGUAGGGCCCUUUGUGCCAUUAGUUGCGAACUAUCUACAAAUUCAAACAUGGUGGACAUUCCCUCAUAGACAACAUAUAAGCAAAAUCAAUAAGUAUGCAACAGGGCAGGCAAUAAACUUUUGAUAUUAGUUGGGUUUGCGAGGAUUGUAAUGUGUCCUUGUUCUGCUUCCCCUGGAGGGGCUAAGUGUCCAGCGUCAAACCGGUUCCCAGAGGCUGUUGCCGUUCCGUGGUCUUGGAGCUCCCGGCCCUUGGAACAAAGGGGGUGAUGUGUUCUGGGUCCCAGCUAGCAGUGGUUGGCCUCCCAUGUGGGGUAGCAGCGAUCGGGAUGUCCAGUCCCAGUGCCUUCAAAAAUUCGGGUGCACCUUCCAUUGAGGUGAGUGUGUGGUGAGUUCCGUUCCGGUGCACCAUUACGGAGCCGUUGGGCCCCCAUCUGUAUUCGAUGCCCACUGACCUCAGGCCACCGGUGAGAGAAGAGAAGGUUUUCCUCCAGGUGAGGGUGGCUUUUGUUAGGUCCUGGAAAAAGUACAGUGUAGUUCCUUCAAAAUCCAGUGGUGUUUUCCCUUUAAGGGCCGUCAUGAGCUGUAUUUUGUCUUGUAUUGUUGGACAUCUGAGUAUCACAUCUCGGGCUGUGUUUUUCGGUGCCCUGGCGGAAGAGGGCAAGCGAUAAAUCUCUGCUGUGGCUAGUUUUUUGGCUGCAACUGGAGGCAAGAUUGUGGCUAUGAGGCGCCUGGAGUAGUGUGGCAGUUCGUUUGGUGUGACUUCCGCAGGGAUGCCCCUUAUCUUUAUAUUAGUGCGUCUUUGUUUUUCUUCCAGAGCAGUGAGCUGUGCAGUUAAGGCUUUAUGUUGUGUGUGUACCUGCUGCACAGAUUCUUGUAGGUUGGAUAGAUGUUCCUGCAGGCUUGUGAUGUCUUUUUCGGUUGCCUGCACCCUGCUGGUGAUUGCUUUGAUGUCUUUUUUGAUGGGAGCAAGUUCCGUCGCUAGAAUUGUGUGAAAAUCUGUCAGCAGGGUUUUUAGAUCCUGUCUGGUGAUUGGGGC